rnacentral:rRNA from 1 species
AUUGAACGCUGGCGGCAGGCCUAACACAUGCAAGUCGAGCGGAUGACGGGAGCUUGCUCCUUGAUUCAGCGGCGGACGGGUGAGUAAUGCCUAGGAAUCUGCCUGGUAGUGGGGGACAACGUUUCGAAAGGAACGCUAAUACCGCAUACGUCCUACGGGAGAAAGCAGGGGACCUUCGGGCCUUGCGCUAUCAGAUGAGCCUAGGUCGGAUUAGCUAGUUGGUGGGGUAAUGGCUCACCAAGGCGACGAUCCGUAACUGGUCUGAGAGGAUGAUCAGUAACACUGGAACUGAGACACGGUACAGACUCCAACGGGAGGCAGCAGUGGGGAAUAUUGGACAAUGGGCGAAAGCCUGAUCCAGCCACGCCGCGUGUGUGAAGGAGGGCUUCGGAUUGUAAAGCACUUUAAGUUGGGAGGAAGGGCAGUAAGUUAAUACCUUGCUGUUUUGACGUUACCGACAGAAUAAGCACCGGCUAACUCUGUGCCAGCCGCCGCCGUAA